AGAAUGAGAAUUUCCAAUAUGUGCUUCCAGCAGACAAGAUGCUGCUCUGGGAACUCAUGAAGUCAAAAAAGUUACCAAUGUCUCAAUAUCCGAGCCACAGGUGAAGGAGGGUGACGUGGUGCAAUUACUUGAGUCCCACGGAGAACUGUCGAAUGAAGAUUUAAUGCAACCAGAGAUACAAUAAACUGAAGCAAGCUGUUGAAACACCAGCCCCUUGAAUGUUAACAAAAUGAUUGUCUAACUUCCGACUUAUUGACGAAGCAAUGGCUUCACCGGGGCUAUCCAAACAGAGAAUGCAGUUCCAAAGUGAAUAAAGCAGUCAAUAAUAUUAACUGUUACAAGAUACUUUACCAACAAAAAACCUCCAGUCUUUGGAUAAUUUUUUUCAAGCUUGAUGAUUCUGUCCCCCAUCCCGUUAACUCCACCACUCCAACCAUCACUGGAUAUAACUGCAUUUGCUGCCCCAAUCUCAGCUCUCAUUUUACACAGGAAAUCUAAGUCAACUGUAGUCAUGUACUACUGGUCACCUGCACCCUGAUCAAAUUCACCAG